GAUGAACGCUAGCGGCAGGCUUAAUACAUGCAAGUCGAGGGGCAGCAGGGGUAGCAAUACCCGCUGGCGACCGGCAAACGGGUGCGGAACACGUACGCAACUUUCCCAAAACUGGUGAAUAGCCCUCCGAAAGGAGGAUUAAUACGCCGUAACAUAAUGAAGUGGCAUCACUUUAUUAUUAUAGCUCCGGCGGUUUUGGAUGGGCGUGCGCCUGAUUAGGUAGUUGGUAGGGUAACGGCCUACCAAGCCAACGAUCAGUAACUGGUGUGAGAGCACGACCAGUCACACGGGCACUGAGACACGGGCCCGACUCCUACGGGAGGCAGCAGUAAGGAAUAUUGGUCAAUGGGACGCAAGUCUGAACCAGCCAUGCCGCGUGAAGGAUGAAGGCCCUCUGGGUU
rnacentral:rRNA from 1 species